GACGAACGCUGGCGGCAGGCCUAACACAUGCAAGUCGAGCGAGCGGCGGACGGGUGAGUAAUGUCUGGGAAACUGCCUGAUGGAGGGGGAUAACUACUGGAAACGGUAGCUAAUACCGCAUACCAUCAGAUGUGCCCAGAUGGGAUUAGCUAGUAGGUGGGGUAAAGGCUCACCAAGGCGACGAUCGGUAGCUGGUCUGAGAGGACGACCAGCCACACUGGGACGGAGACACGGCCCAGACUCCUACGGGAGGCAGCAGUGGGGAAUUUUGGACAAUGGGGGCAACCCUGAUCCAGCCAUGCCGCGUGCAGGAUGAAGGUCUUCGGAUUGUAAACUGCUUUUGUCAGGGAAGCGGUACCUGAAGAAUAAGCACCGGCUAACUACGUGCCAGCAGCCGCGGUAAUUC
rnacentral:rRNA from 1 species